AUUGAACGCUUGCGGCAGGCCUAACACAUGCAAGUCGAGCGAGCGGCGGACGGGUGAGUAAUGUCUGGGGAUCUGCCCGAUGGAGGGGGAUAACUACUGGAAACGGUGGCUAAUACCGCAUACUAUCGGAUGAACCCAUAUGGGAUUAGCUAGUAGGUGGGGUAAAGGCUAACCUAGGCGACGAUCUCUAGCUGGUCUGAGAGGAUGACCCGCCACACUGGAACUGAGACACGGUCCAGACUCCUACGGGAGGCAGCAGUGGGGAAUAUUGCACAAUGGGCGCAAGCCUGAUGCAGCCAUGCCGCGUGUAUGAAGAAGGCCUUAGGGUUGUAAAGUACUUUCAGCGGGGAGGCGUUACCCGCAGAAGAAGCACCGGCUAACUCCGUGCCAGCAGCCGCGGUAAUUC
rnacentral:rRNA from 1 species